GUCGAUUGAGUCAGUCGUCAGUUCCCCACAUCCAGAAGACCAGAUCAGUUCACGAGCAACUGACAAUUAAUAUUUUUUAUAUUCAUUAAUUAUAUAAUUAAAUAAUCAAAUCAAAUCAUAAUGUCGGCUGAAAAGUACGCAAAGGCAGACCCAGAAUUGAAGGCAGAGCUUAAAAAAAUAGCAGAGUCUAUUGUAGCACCUGGUAAGGGUAUUUUAGCAGCUGAUGAAUCAACAACAACUAUUGGUAAACGUUUGCAAGACAUAAAUGUUGAAAAUAAUGAAGAGAACCGUAAGGCUUAUCGCCAAUUGUUGUUUACAACCAACAAGGAUGUCAUUAAAGAGCAUAUCUCCGGUGUAAUUCUUUUCCACGAGACUUUAUAUCAAAAAGCUGAUGAUGGAACACCAUUCGUAGAAUUAAUGAAAGAGCGCAACAUCAUCCCCGGUAUCAAAGUAGACAAAGGUGUUGUCCCAUUAUUUGGAACAGAUGACGAGUGCACAACUCAGGGUCUUGAUGAUCUCCAGGCUCGUUGCAUCCAGUACAAAAAAGACGGGUGUCAUUUUGCUAAAUGGCGUUGCGUGUUGAAAAUAAAAGGCAACACGUGUCCAAGUCGGUUGGCCAUUUUGGAGAACGCUAAUGUCUUGGCGCGCUACGCAUCCAUUUGCCAGAGCGCACGGAUCGUACCAAUCGUUGAGCCUGAAAUUUUACCAGACGGUGAUCAUGAUCUUGCUCGUUGCCAACAAGUCACUGAGGAAGUACUCGCUGCGGUAUACAAGGCACUCAAUGACCAUCACGUUUACUUGGAGGGAACUCUCUUGAAACCGAAUAUGGUCACUCCUGGACAGAGCUGCCCCAAGCGGGCGACACCACAGGAAAUAGCAUCGGCAACAGUCAUUGCCUUGCAACGCACAGUCCCACCAGCGGUGCCUGGUAUCACUUUCUUGAGUGGUGGUCAGUCUGAAGAAGAGGCUUCAGUUAAUCUCGACGCCAUCAAUAAGUAUCCGGGUAAAAAACCAUGGGCUUUGACAUUCAGUUACGGCAGAGCUCUUCAAGCUUCGGUUUUGAGAGCCUGGUCUGGUAAGAAGGAACAGGUUGCAGCUGGACAAGAAGAACUUAUCAAGCGUGCCAAGGCAAAUUCAUUAGCUUGCCAAGGAAAAUAUCGAGCUGGUAGCAUUCCGAGCAAAGCCGCUAAUGUUGACUUGCACAUUAAAGCUCACACUUAUUAAUUACAAUAAUUACUGCACACUAUUUAAUUACAAACUCACAUUCUAUUACUGCUCGCAAUACUCUAGACUUUUACUUUCUUUUAAUUACUCCUUUUAUUUGAAAUUUUUUCUACAACAUUUUAUUUUAACGCAAAUAGCGAAGCUUCACUUGGAAAAUAUGCCGGUGGUGUCUCUGGAGCUGCUGGUGACUCUGCAUUAUUUGUUCCUAAUCACGCAUAUU